rnacentral:rRNA from 1 species
AGUCGAGGGGCAGCAUGAACUUAGCUUGCUAAGUUUGAUGGCGACCGGCGCACGGGUGAGUAACACGUAUCCAACCUGCCGAUGACUCGGGGAUAGCCUUUCGAAAGAAAGAUUAAUACCCGAUGGCAUAGUUCUUCCGCAUGAUCGAACUAUUAAAGAAUUUCGGUCAUCGAUGGGGAUGCGUUCCAUUAGGUUGUUGGCGGGGUAACGGCCCACCAAGCCUUCGAUGGAUAGGGGUUCUGAGAGGAAGGUCCCCCACAUUGGAACUGAGACACGGUCCAAACUCCUACGGGAGGCAGCAGUGAGGAAUAUUGGUCAAUGGACGAGAGUCUGAACCAGCCAAGUAGCGUGAAGGAUGACUGCCCUAUGGGUUGUAAACUUCUUUUAUACGGGAAUAAAGUGAGGCACGUGUGCCUUUUUGUAUGUACCGUAUGAAUAAGGAUCGGCUAACUCCGUGCCAGCAGCCGCGGUAAUACGGAGGAUCCGAGCGUUAUCCGGAUUUAUUGGGUUUAAAGGGAGCGUAGGCGGACGCUUAAGUCAGUUGUGAAAGUUUGCGGCUCAACCGUAAAAUUGCAGUUGAUACUGGGUGUCUUGAGUACAGUAGAGGCAGGCGGAAUUCGUGGUGUAGCGGUGAAAUGCUUAGAUAUCACGAAGAACUCCGAUUGCGAAGGCAGCUUGCUGGACUGUAACUGACGCUGAUGCUCGAAAGUGUGGGUAUCAAACAGGAUUAGAUACCCUGGUAGUCCACACAGUAAACGAUGAAUACU